UUACGGCCAGAUCACGUUGAAACACCGGUUCUCGUACGAUCACAGAAGUUAAGCAACGUUGAUGCUGGUUAGUACCUAGAUGGGUGACUGCUUAGGAAUACCAGAUGUU